GGAAGGGGCGGGCCGGACCGUGACCAUCGAUGGGGGCGGCCGCUCUGCUCUCGGCUCCUCUGUCCUGCCUCUCGGCUCUGGAUUAGCGAAACUGGCGACGUGGGACAUCCUCCGACUCGGCCCCUGCGCCCUGCCUCGCCCGCCGAGGUGAGGCGGGGACUGGGAGCCAGCCACGCCGCAGCGCAGGGGAGGUUGGGGAGCCAGCCGCCCCAGUGUUCCCGGGGCCCAGACGCAGUGGGCCGCGGCUCUCUCCUGCACAGCCCCGCCAGCGUGGUGAGGGGCGGCGGCGGCGAGCUCCCGGUUGGGCGAUUGGGCGGUGGGGCCAUGGCGCUGCGGGCCCGGGCGUUGUACGACUUCAGAUCGGAGAACCCGGGGGAAAUCUCGCUGCGGGAGCACGAGGUGCUGAGCCUCUGCAGUGAGCAGGACAUCGAGGGUUGGCUGGAGGGUAUCAACAGCCACGGCGACCGCGGUCUCUUCCCGGCCUCCUACGUGCAGGUGAUCCGCGCCGCUGAGACGCCGCUGCCCGCCCGCUACACCAACCUGCCUGCCGGCGGUUUAGAGCCGCUGCUGCACCCUGCCGCCUUCAAGCCGGCAAUACUAGAGGCCCCGCCGGCGGCGGCGCCUGAGCCCUUUUCGUUGCCCCCCCGCCGCCGCCGGGUACCCUUUCCUGCCUACGCCCUACGGCGGCUCCUGCCAGAUCAGCAGCCAGGGCAGCGAUGACGACUGGGACGAUGACUGGGACGAAAGCUCCACGGUGGCCGAUGAGCCAGGCUCCCUGAGCAGCUCCUACCCCGUCUACGAGGUGUCAGGCAGAUGGGCCUCUGGCCACUACCGCCUGUCCAUGCAGUCUGAGGUGUCUUUAAGCUCCCACAGUGGCCAUCUAGCAGGCCACCUGCACCUGCCCAGCAGCAGCACCAAGAGUUCGGCCGUGGUAAGCCGCAACCUCAACCGCUUCUCAACCUUUGUCAAGUCCGGUGGGGAGGCUUUCGUGCUGGGUGAGGUAUCAGGCUUUGUGAACGAUGGGGACAAGCUGUGCGUGGUGCUGGGCCCCCGGGGCCCUGAAUGGCAGGAGAAGCCCUACCCCUUUCAGUGCUCCAUUGAGGACCCCACCAAACAGACUAAAUUCAAGGGCAUGAAGAGUUACAUCGCCUACAAGCUGGUGUCCAGCCACACUGGGAAGCAGGUGCACCGCCGCUACAAACACUUUGGCUCUAUGGGUGCCUGGCUGAGAAGUUCCCUGUCAUCUCUGUGCCCCACUUGCCAGAGAAGCAGGCCACUGGCCGCUUUGAGGAGGACUUCAUCUCCAAACGUCGCAAAGGCCUGGCCUGGUGGAUGGACCACAUGUGCAGCCACCCCGUGCUGGCUCAGUGUGAUGCUUUCCAGCACUUCCUCACCUGUCCCAGCACAGAUGAAAAGACAUGGAAACAAGGUAAGCGCAAGGCUGAGAAGGAUGAGAUGGUGGGUGCCAACUUUUUCCUGACCAUCAGUGUCCCUGCUGGCUCUGGGGCUGGCCUGGACUUGCAUGAGGUAGAAAGUCAGGUGGAUGGCUUCAAAGCCUUCAUGAAGAAGAUGGAUGAAAGUGCCCUGCAGCUUAAUCACAUAGCCAAUGAAUUUGCUCGCAAACAAGUCACUGGUUUCAAGAAGGAAUACCAGAAGGUGGGACACUCCUUUAAGUGUCUCAGUCAGGCAUUCGAGCUGGACCAGCAAGCCUUUUCGACUGGCCUCAACCAAGCCAUAACCUUCACUGCAGAAGCCUAUGAUGCCAUUGGGGACUUCUUUGCAGAUCAGCCCCGGUAGGACCUCGAUGCUGUGAUGGAUUUGUUAGCACUGUAUCAGGGGCAUUUGGCCAACUUUCCAGAUAUCAUCCAGGUCCAGAAAGGAGCCCUCACCAAAAUAAAGGAGAGUAAGCGACAUGUGGAAGAGGGGAAGAUGGAACUCCCAAAAGCUGAGGGUAUUCAAGAACGCUGUAACAUUAUUUCUUUUGCAACCCUAGCAGAAAUUAAUCAUUUCCACAAAAUUCGUGUGAGGGACUUUAAAAUACAGAUGCAGCAUUUCUUGAAACAGCAAAUAGUCUUUUUUCAAAAAGUGACACAAAAGCUAGAGGAAGCUCUUCGCAAGUAUGACAGUGUGUAAUCUCUCAACUUUGAUUUGUGGACUUUCCGCAGUAUGAAUGUGACUCAACAAGCAGAGUAAACAUUGCUGCUGCUGAAAAACUGUUGGCAGUGGUAGGUUGUGGUACAAGGGUGGUUUUGUGUUAACCUGAACUCUUCAUUUAAUCUCUGAUUAUGUAGAAAGGAAACAGUUAUAGAGCUAUGCAGUAGAAACAGUACCACAUGUAACCAAUUUAUAUUGUGUAUGCCUAUACUACCACUGUAACUUUUUAAAAAUAAUGAGUAUAAUAUUUGCCUUAUUGCUUUUUGAAAUAUGGUAUCUUAGUCCAUACUUUGCAGACCUCAAAACUGUUUGAAUCUUUAAGGAAGUUGGCUAGCUAAAAGCCGACUUCAAAUGUCUUUUUACUUUCCUAGAUUUGGAUUUCUUAAAGCGAUUCUUUGUUUACAGAUUCCUAGUGGAGCAGCCACAUGAUUCUGUGCCUUUAGACUAUUUUCCCUUUUGUAAUAAGUCACAUUUUUGUGAUUGAAUGAAUGAAGGAUUGAUGUCCAUAACUGGAACUUAUUAUCAAACUGAUUAUUGACUGGAAAAAAUCAGCUCCCAUUCAGUUUGCACAGCAAGCACUGUCUUAUGACAAAUUGUCCUGGUUUAGGGGACACAUACUACCAGAAAAAAGGCAGGAACUUUUCCUAAAAUGGAGAGUGAAAAUCC